UACGUAGGAUGCAAGCGUUAUCCGGAAUGAUUGGGCGUAAAGCGUCCGCAGGUGGCUGUGUAAGUCUGCUGUUAAAGAGUGAGGCUCAACCUCAUAAAAGCAGUGGAAACUACACAGCUAGAGUGCGUUCGGGGCAGAGGGAAUUCCUGGUGUAGCGGUGAAAUGCGUAGAGAUACAGGAAGAACACCGGGUGGCGAAGGCGCUCUGCUAGGCCGCAACUGACACUGAGGGACGAAAGCUAGGGGAGCGAAUGGG
rnacentral:rRNA from 1 species